rnacentral:rRNA from 1 species
ACGCUCGACACCUACGGGAGCAGCAGUGGGGAAUAUUGCACAAUGGGGGAAACCCUGAUGCAGCGACGCCGCGUGAGCGAAGAAGUAUCUCGGUAUGUAAAGCUCUAUCAGCAGGGAAGAAGAUGACGGUACCUGACUAAGAAGCACCGGCUAAAUACGUGCCGACAGCCGCGGUAAUCUGAGCGGGCUGGCAAGGC